CUGAACAUGUAAAUUAAGAGCCAUUGAAGUAAAAUAUGCUGAGCUGUGAACAUCUCUUUUUCAGUGGACUGGAGCCUGGAUCCUCUGUGAGCUUACACAGCUGUGUUGGGCUGAGAGCUCAGUGAUUUAUUGAUGGAAAAUCAGGAGGAGACAGUCUUCAAAAUGGCCAGUCAGCUGAAGAAACCAGACUGGGAACAUCUGUAUUUUCUCAUUUGAAAACCUCACCUGUUGCUUGCUCCUAUGGAAUACCUGGAAAAACUGUUGAAGACUGCCUGGUCAACUCUGCUGGAAGCCUGGGAUCAUGGAGGAGACAGACUGUAGCACUGUGCUGCAAGUAUGGGUGGAGGGUAGAAGUGAAAAACCUGAGGUCUGGCUCUGUGAUGUCCUUCUGCAUAUCCGCAGGCAAGUCAUUCCCACUGUCACUCUGCUCCUGAAGUCUCUCCACAUCUACUAUUGCUGAGACCCAGCAGUACCCUGAGCUUCUGCAGUCAUCCCUCCUUCCCAUCUUCAAAACAAAUGCACUCCAUUUAUCAUAAUAAAAGGAAUAUUUUCUUUUAAACCUAGAUGACAUUUUGUGUCCUGCAUAUGUGCAUAUGCCUCUUCAUCCCUCCAGAUGACUUCUAUGCUAAUACCCAACUCCAGAUAAGUAUAGAGGCCUCAGUGGUAUCAAAGUAGCAUUAAAUUUCCAUGAAAUUGGGAAAAUGAAUAAUUAAAAUGUCACUUCUCCUGAGAGAGAAGUCUUACCAGAUGUCAGAGAGGAAAAGGGAUAGAGGGACAGAGAAAAAACCAUAAGAAAUAAGGCUUCAUUUUCUCAUUCUGUUGCACACAGUCAUUUUAUUUUGGGUUUUCUGUUUGUUUUCUCAUGACCCAUCAUUCUCUAAGCCUUACUUGUGAUUUGAAGUAUAAAUUAGUGUAUUAGCAAUCAAAUAUUCCUCCCAUAAUCCCUCAGUUGCUUUCCACAUUGUAUCUGGAAAGGCCUAAUGCUCACCUGGUGUUGACUCUCCACUCAUGACAGGGGUAGAUUUUAAGUAGCAAGAACACUGGACAUGCAAAGGGAACAAGUCUAUUAGGAGCUGGAGAAGGCCUAUUCAUUGACCAGUUUCACCAUAUGCUAAGGGAACACAAUAAUACAUGUCUAAAUUGGAGACAAAUUGCAAAAAAUAAUUUGUGAACUGGAGCCCCAUUCCUUGGAGUAAAGAUCUUUUGCCUCCCAUGCCUUUGCCCAUAUAGAAUCAGCUAUGGAAAAAUGCAGCACAAACUAUCAGCUUCUGCAAGCCUUCUGAGGGCAUUAUUAACUUCUUCACAUGCUCCCAUUCCGGAAUCAUAGACUUCUGAACACUCAGUUUUGAACUGACUAGCUUUACUCUCAGUCUGCUGUAUUCAUCACACAUUAUUUUAUUCAUCUGCCCUAAAAUAACAAGGUUUAAUUGCCAAUCUGGUUCUGAUUUACUAAUAACUCUUUGUGCAUGGAAGGAGACCUCAAAUUCUGUAUACUCAUUCUCAAUCAACGUCAGCUUGGUAUUAACUCAGUGUUAUUACAUUAUUGAUUUUAUUCAUCCCAGGAGCUACAUCAAUUUAUCAUGGAAUUUACACUUCUUUAACAACCAACACAAAUCAAGACCAUUUGUUAGACUUGCAGUGUAGAGUAGAAGGUUUUUGGAAUCUGAUCCUCAUUUUCCUUUACAUUUGUUUAGAUUUCCAGUUAAUCUGAAUUCCUAUCUUGCCCCUUUGAACUCUCAACCAACUGUAAAUACUUCUGAUAAAUUUCCAUGCUAAAAACUGUAUUGCAACACAGUUCUUUAAAAAAAAAAGGAAAAACCAAAUACCCAGUGCUUUAUGAAUUGAUGUAACUGGUUCAGGGAAACAAACAGUCAGCUGCUUUAGGUUACACAGUGGCCAAUGUAAACAAUAAAAUCUGUAACCUCAAUCAUGCAUUUGGUUCUGCUGCACAGUAUAACCAUUUGUAGUUUUAAUUCAGGUCUUGAAAGUGUGUAAUGAAUUUAAAACGUCCUUUCCCAUUGCAUUUUACUGUCUAAUUUAUUUGGAACAGAUGAAGAGAUUCUGGGAAAAUUAAUUGUCUGCUUCUGCAUUUGUUCAGUCUUCUCUGGCUGGACUCUGUGAUGGCUGGAGAGAUACUGAAAGGAUGAUGUCAGAAGAGUGGGUAAUGAAAGCUGAAGGGAAUUUUAGUCAGAUGCUUUGAACUGUUGAUUUAAAAAAGUAAAGUUAAUGACUACAUAGCUGAAAUGCUGAUUUUGUAUUUGGGAGAAAGGAUGUGGGGUACCAGAGAAGUCACAGCACUGACUUGCAGUUCUUUUUAGAGGUCUAAAGCACCUCUACUAUAUUCUUUCACAUCACAGGAAAACCCACUACUGGCUGGAGUGUGAGGGACAAUUGUAAACUUUGCUAGGCCAUAUAGUAAUUUUAUCACUCUGCUGCAUAUUCAUCCUGUUCUUGAAACUGUUAUCUGAGUAUAGUAAAACUACAACUUUCAUGACAUACUGUUGCUUAAUAGUAAGAGGGCAAAAAUGAGACUCUAAUAAAAUUAAAGGACCACUUCAGCUGCAUUUACCUUAAAGCACAUGAGUAAUGUAGAAAAGGGAGGAUUGCGAAAUCUGUGUGUUCAUGGCAUUGCCAACCUUCAGUGUUACCUAACACUGUUGGGAUUACAUCAUCAGAACAAACUUUCAUCAGUUCAUCAUGGCUUGCCUAUGUCACACUAUUCUGAGUUCAGCAGGGAAGUGAUGAUUUCAUGGAAAUUUGUCCCUUCCCGAGUGUUGCAAACACUGUCAGAAACUCCAUUCUAUAUUAACACAGCUUGCCACUAAGUGCCUAAGGGAGAGAAGGCCACUCCACCCAAAAAUAUCUAAUAAAAACUUUAGGAGCUAUAGGAUUCAUGCAAACUUUCUCUUUGAAGUCACCAAAGCAGAACUUUCUUGGCCUUGUAGCUCAGAAGAAUUUCAGGAACAUAUAUUACCAGUAGCUUCCACAUCCAUAUCCUGGCUUGGGUCUCAGCAUUUCACAUGGUGGAGGAAGGUGAAUACCUGGAUAACUGUGUGCUUGUGAGUUUUGAAAUAGAGGCAUGCAAGAGAUAGGGAAGAGAAGACCAAGAACUUCUUUUGAAUUGCCUGGGUAGACAAAUUGGGGUUUUAUGUUUUUUUCUACUCCAAUAGCACAGCCAGCUUGCACCUGUGCCAGAAACCUUUAUGGGUUGGCUGUUUGCCUGGUGGUAGCUGAGAUGCUCAAAGGGCUGUAGUGAGAUGUUACAUCUCUUCUCAGGCUGAGCAGUGAAGCAGGAGCUCUCCUCCAGGUUAGACCUGGGGUCACCAAAACACCAUAGAAGGCACAAACCAGAGCAGCUCUGCUGGCAGCAGGAGGAAGCAGAGCAACUGUGAAAGGCAUGAGAUGCUCCUGCCAUAAUGUUCUGUGCCAGUCAAGGGCUGAGUGAGAGGCUGCUGUGCAGCUGUAACAAAAGAGUCAGCACUCUUCCAUGGACACUGGCCAGUGCAGAGGAUUUGAUAAGAGUUGAGGUGCUUAUCCCAGCUGCUGCUUCAAGGGGUGCAGAGGGGUUGCAAUUUACUUUGUCAUUGUCCAGGUGCACAGGUAAGCAAGCUCUGGCCUUUGCCAGCUUCUCAGAUCAAGCCACAGGAAGCCCUAAGCUCUUUUAUAAACCCAUGCUGUAAUUCCACAGGUGCUGGGCAAGAGCAGGCACGCGACUGCUAUCAGAUUAGCCACUGACUUUAUGCUGUCUUUCCACGGCUCCUGGGAGGAUGUGAUGCAGCACAGAGGCAGAGCAGCACGAGCAAUCAGAGCCUCUUCCAGCACCCAGCACGCCUGUACAAGGUUAACCCACCAAUGAUUUUAAACAAGUGCUGCAUUGCUAUUACUAUGCUGUGGUUGCUGAGGUGUCCAU